ACUCCUACGGGAGGCAGCAGUGGGGAAUAUUGCACAAUGGGCGCAAGCCUGAUGCAGCAACGCCGCGUGAGGGACGACGGCCUUCGGGUUGUAAACCUCUUUUAGCAGGGAAGAAGCGAAAGUGACGGUACCUGCAGAAAAAGCACCGGCUAACUACGUGCCAGCAGCCGCGGUAAUACGUAGGGUGCAAGCGUUAUCCGGAAUUAUUGGGCGUAAAGAGCUCGUAGGCGGUUUGUCGCGUCUGCUGUGAAAACCCGAGGCUCAACCUCGGGCCUGCAGUGGGUACGGGCAGACUAGAGUGCGGUAGGGGAGAUUGGAAUUCCUGGUGUAGCGGUGGAAUGCGCAGAUAUCAGGAGGAACACCGAUGGCGAAGGCAGAUCUCUGGGCCGUAACUGACGCUGAGGAGCGAAAGGGUGGGGAGCAAACAGGCUUAGAUACCCUGGUAGUCCACCCCGUAAACGUUGGGAACUAGUUGUGGGGUCCAUUCCACGGAUUCCGUGACGCAGCUAACGCAUUAAGUUCCCCGCCUGGGGAGUACGGCCGCAAGGCUAAAACUCAAAGGAAUUGACGGGGACCCGCACAAGCGGCGGAGCAUGCGGAUUAAUUCGAUGCAACGCGAAGAACCUUACCAAGGCUUGACAUAUACGAGAACGCUGCAGAAAUGUACUCUUUGGACACUCGUAAACAGGUGGUGCAUGGUUGUCGUCAGCUCGUGUCGUGAGAUGUUGGGUUAAGUCCCGCAACGAGCGCAACCCUCGUUCUAUGUUGCCAGCACGUAAUGGUGGGAACUCAUGGGAUACUGCCGGGGUCAACUCGGA
rnacentral:rRNA from 1 species